rnacentral:ncRNA from 1 species
AAUAAAUAUUGGCAAAAUUACCGAAAGGUAAUGACGCAAAACUAUGGGUCUAAAAACGAAAUUAUGUUAUGACUGCCAGGUUGCAUGU